ACAAUAUAUUUUCGUCUUUUUUCUAAUUCGUUUGUCAAUGUCUUAAAGUCUGAUUAUGUCAAAUUGAUAUUCCAUGAGCAAAUAUGUCUGAAGAAGCUACGGAAGAUGCAUCUCCUGAAACUCCAGAACCGCCCAAAGAAUGUUUGGCCGAUUGUAUGUCCCAGGCGCCAGACCGGAUAUUAGAAAAAUUCACUAUUUUUUAUAAAGAAAACAGAAAAACUUUAGAGCGCCUUUUGGCUAAAAUGGGAAAAACUGAUGAACAGUCUCGACAACUGUACGCAAUAAUUCUGUUUAUUAUUAAACAAAAUCCGCUUUACAAAAAGGAGUUCAUAAAUUGCGACGACGUCGCCAUCAGAGACCUAAAUGCACUGAAAGACAAGGGACCCUUUUACAAUGACAUAAUAUUACCUUUCCUUGUUAAAAGUUUGCCUAUUAAAAAAGAAGUAAAGGCAGUGGCCAAACAAAUCAUAAAACCUCUUUCUGAUGACUGUAGCUCCCCCGCCUGCCAAUCCACUUCAAUCAAGAAAGACGCCAAAGAUAACCAACAAAAAGAUAUUGGCUCCUGUAAAUUGCCCCCUAAAAAAGAAACUGUCCCCCCCGUAAAUCCUUAUGGAUAUACUAGCGUGACGGUUGCCUCCAACAAACAAGAACUCUGCAAAUUGGAGAAUAAUUUCCAAAAUUUUUUGGAUCGGCUUACUGAUUUGGAAAAAAAGAUGUGUGGAAUGGUGGAGUCCACCAAGAUGGAAACAGAAAAAUCUGUCAGUUCUAUGCGGAAGGACCAGAUGUCAAAAACUAUGCAAGGAAAUAAAUCUUGCUCAUCAAAAAGUAGUGGAUCCCAAAGCUCCAGAAGCUUACGAGACAUUAGUAAUCUAGAUAAAUAUAUAGAAAACUAUUGGAAAUGUAUUUACAGCAACGUAGAGUCUCUAAGAAAAAAAAUUAACGAUGCAAAAAGUAAGGCAAUUAACAUAGACAAAGAAGCUGAGGACUUUUUAGCACAGCAUGCCGCUUGUCAAGCCAAAUCAAAGAAGUGCCCAACUAAGUCUGCAUUUUCAUCGUGUCACGAUGUUGAUUCGGGACUUUCGCAAUUUUUUCAAAGUGAACUUACAAGAAGAUCUGUAAAUGAAAGCUUCGCCAACACAAUUGAUGAUUUAAAAUUAAAUUUUUUGAGUUUAAUGGAGUCACACGAGGCAGAAUCAAGGAAUAUCCUCAAUAAAAUUACAAAAAUAAUAUAUGGGAGUAAAAGUGGCAGUAUUAAAGAAGAAAAACCCUGCCCAAAUGCGCCUGGAUAUGUAAAACCUACUGAAGGUGAACCUGACGAGGAUCAGAGACAGAUUUUAAGCGAAAGCUUAGCAAAGGCCAUAGAUGAUUAUAAAAAGCUUCUAAAUAGUAUAAUUAAAGCACAUCCAGACAAAGCGUCUGAAACUGUCAAAAAGUUAGAAAAACUAUUUGUACCAGAUGUUAUUACUCCACGUUGCGAUGCAGAAGAAACACUUCAUGAUAAUUUGGAAAAUGCAAUUGGACAACUUAAUGAACUGCUGGAAGGUCUAAAAAAUAUACCAGAUUAUCCAGAUUUAGACGCCCCGAAAGAGCCUUCACCAAAAGGAUCUUCGCAUAGUAGAGGUAGUAAAGGUGACAAAGGCGAAAAAGGAUCCACCCAUAGUGGCGCCAAUGCAGAUGUCGAAGCUGCAAAAUCACCUUCUACUCAAAGUGGUUCUAAGAUAGAAGAAAAUAGUAUUUUUUGCAAAAAGGAAUUGUCCAAAUGUGAAGAAAAAGCUUUGAACGAAAGCAUAGAAUAUUCCUUGGGAAACUUGAAUGGAUUAUUACUAGACUAUUUGGCGUUUGAUCCCUCUGAAGCUGGAAAAUUGAUACACUUACUUGAAGUUUCGUCCUUUAAUUUAACAGGGCAAAAGGCUGAACAGCCUGAAGUAAUUAAAUGCAAAAACAAUUUUGAUCCUAAAAAUACAAGCAGUAAAGAAAACAUAAGUAAAAAAGAAGAUUUGUCGUCAAUAAACGGCACUUUCGAAACUGUCGAAGACUCCAGUUCUAUGCACAGUGCUGUUUCUAAAAAGUCUGAACAUGAGCCAUCAUUAUCUCUAAAAUCUUGCCAAUCCCUUGGCCUUAGUUUACUUGAUUUUGAAAAUCUUCUCGAAAAUGAACAACAACAAGAUCCUAAUAAAAUUAAAAAUGUUAUACCUGAAAUCUACGACAGUCAAUAUAAAAAUGAAUUUCUAGGAGACAAAGAAAUAGCCCACAGUACUAUGAUCAGCAAAUAUUCUAAUAAAAUGAAAAAGUCAGAUGAUAAUUUGGAAUUUAAAGAUGCUUUUGAACGCCUCGAUGUACUAGAGGAACAGUUUAAUGACAUCCAGAAAAGUUUAGUAACUAAUUAUUCAGAUAUCGCCACCAGUAAGGAAAGAAUUGACUCAACAAUCAAUACCAAUGACUUAUUAUUAAGCCCAUAAAAUAAAUUUGACAGUAUUUCUGUCACAUUUCUAUUCCUAAAAAUCAUGUCGGAAGAAAACGUCGAGGUUGUUGAAGCAGCUGAUGCCGCUGAUGAAAACGAGGUUGGCACUAACGUUCAAUCGGGAUGCAAAGACAGUUGUUUGGAUAGUAUCACAGAAAAAACAAUGGAAAAGCUCAAGGAACAUUUUUUGGUGCAUCAUCCGAUAGUUUUGGAUCUGCUGCAAAGGAUGCCUGUGGACGAGAUGAUUUGCACACAAUCUUGUAACCAGUAUUACAUGCUGUACCAACUUGUCAUGUAUUUGGCUAACGAGAACGGUAUAUUCAAGAAUGCUUUGAAGAAUAGCACUCCAACUAAUCCAGACGAUCCUCUACAACAAACAUAUAAAGAAAUUCUACUUCCGUUCUUUAAAGCCACAGAAGCGAUUGACUUGAUGCAAAAACAAAAAGAAAUAGAAGAAUUAGCAUGUAAUGUUAGUUCGUGCGUUAAGAAAAAUCCACCUGCUGAGGAGGAAGAGGAAAGCCCCACAUGUAAUGACGUGGAUUGCACAAAAAAACCUAAAGCACGACCAGUAGAGGAAUCGGUACCAGCAGAAUAAACAUGUAUGAUAACUUUAAACAAUUUGCCAUGGAAUAGAAAUUUAACAUAAA